GAUGAACGCUAGCGGCAGGCCUAAUACAUGCAAGUCGAACGGUCCACUUCGGUGGAUAGUGGCGCACGGGUGCGUAACACGUAUGCAACCUACCUUACAUUGGGGGAUAGCCUUCCGAAAGGGAGAUUAAUACCGCAUAAGACAGUAACAUGGCAUCAUGUAGCUGUUAAAGAUUUAUCGAUGUAAGCUGGGCAUGCGUCCAAUUAGUUAGUUGGUGAGGUAAUGGCUCACCAAGACGAUGAUUGGUAGGGGAACUGAGAGGUCAAUCCCCCGCACGGGCACUGAGAUACGGGCCAGACUCCUACGGGAGGCAGCAGUAGGGAAUAUUGGGCAAUGGACGCAAGUCUGACCCAGCCAUGCCGCGUGCAGGAAGAAGGCGUUCUGCGUUGUAAACUGCUUUUAUAUAGGAAGAAACGACCCUUGCGAGGGGCAUUGACGGUAUUAUAUGAAUAAGCACCGGCUAACUCCGUGCCAGCCGCCGCAGUAAUAC
rnacentral:rRNA from 1 species